UACGUAGGGUGCAAGCGUUGUCCGGAAUUAUUGGGCGUAAAGAGCUCGUAGGCGGUUUGUCGCGUCGAAUGUGAAAUCCCGGGGCUCAACCCCGGGUCUGCAUUCGAUACGGGCAGACUAGAGUUCGGUAGGGGAGUCUGGAAUUCCUGGUGUAGCGGUGAAAUGCGCAGAUAUCAGUCGGAACACCGGUGGCGAAGGCGGCUUCUUGGGCCGUUCCUGACGCUGAGGCGCGAAAGCUGGGGGAGCGAACGGG
rnacentral:rRNA from 1 species